GGAUUAGAUACCCUGGUAGUCCACGCCCUAAACGAUGAGAACUAGCCGUUGGGGGCAUUAAAGCCUUUGGUGGCGCAGCUAACGCGAUAAGUUCUCCGCCUGGGGAGUACGGCCGCAAGGUUAAAACUCAAAGGAAUUGACGGGGGCCCGCACAAGCGGUGGAGCAUGUGGUUUAAUUCGAUGCAACGCGAAGAACCUUACCUGCUUUUGACAUCCUCGGAAUCCUAUAGAGAUAUAGGAGUGCCUUCGGGAACCGAGUGACAGGUGCUGCAUGGCUGUCGUCAGCUCGUGCCG
rnacentral:rRNA from 1 species